ensembl:lncRNA
AAUAAUUUAACAGUGUUUCUCCUCUCAUCGGAGAUGGCGAUUUUACACAUCUUUUCAAGUGGUUCCUAUUAACAGAACAUAUUUACACUUUUACAAAUGUUUGUUUCGCACAAUCUGUAAGACCAUUUAUGAAUUAUUUAUAUCGGAGCACAGAGAGUCUAAUCAAACUGUCUCGAUUUGUGUUAAAAAAAAAUUGAACAUAAUGGGAAGAUUUGUCCGUUCAGCAGCCUUCAGAUUAAAGCGAUGACUGCGCUGCAACAUUUAAGAGUAGGAGUCCAACAAACUAAUGCAAAAUCAGUCUAUUUUCCAUUAGUGCUGAGCUCCCCUCAUUAAAUAUUCAAACUCUUUAACACCGAACAAAGACUGUUCUAACAAUCAAAACUGAUGAAUUUAGUUGUUUCUUUGCAGCACAUUAACUUGAUGUGACGACGCACCUGGUCAGGUCAAGAUGAUGUUCUAGCAGUUUUCUAAUCUCUCUGUCUACAGUUUAUGUGCGCACAGAUAGAAGAACAUCACACUCAACGCCAUGCUGCCGUCACAGAGCUGUAGUUGUGGCUAUUGCAGAAGCUCUGGCUGGUUAUGUUACAGUGAAAGUGGGUUCACAGGUCGAUGGUUUCCCCUCUUAUCAUGCCGUUAACUGGAGAAAAGCCAGGCUCCGAAAAGUGUUCAGAAACAAAAGCAAAGAUUAAAGCUCCCGCUCCGUUCCACGCAUCACAGUGUUAUAACGUUAUUGCAACCUCGCCGACAGAUCCAGGGAUGUUGAGAGAAGCUUUCAACGAAGCCCCGAGGAACGGUGAGCAAUGGAUUAUUAUUCAUGAUGCGCAACAGAAUAAUAUGAGAUCGCAAAUGCGGGGCACAUAAAGCUCAAUGGGCGAUCAUGAGACUGCGUGAUGUCUCUGAUGGUGGACAGACAGCGAUGGACGCCCAAGUCACGAGGUUAAUGAAGCGCUUCACGGGGCCGUCACUCUGAGGUGGACCGACGCUCCCAGGAUGCUUUGGUGCGAUUUAUCCGAGUUCAGGCCUUGGUGGGAACAUGCACACAUUUAUCAUGGAAUGGAAGAUCAGCUGCCUUUGAGUGUGUCAUGCUCAUGUCGUGAGGUUAAGGUUCAGGCUAUCGAGAAAGGCAAACGAAAAUAAAACCCAGGCAGAGAGCACAUUGGUACCAGGGACGAGCCUUUCAGCGCUACAUUAGAAGGAUUAUUACUAGUGAAGACGUUAGUGCACUUGGUUAGCUAAGUGCUUGAGUUAAAACAUCGCCUUGAGCAUGCAUAAAAUGCAAUGCCAGUGUAGGAUGUUUACAGUGAGUGUCGUAGUAGUUUAAGUACACGUGGACAUUAAGAGAGCUUUGGGGGAUACAGUAUAUAACUCACAGGCUGACUGAUGGUGGCAUCAUGCACACACAAAACUCAAACAUUAACUUCAGCUCAGUCUGUCAUUAUGCACACACGUUCCCAAAUUAUAUAUGUAUUGUAUAAUCUGGCUCCUCCUUUAAAGGAACAGUUCCACAUUUAGUGACUCUUUCCUAUUUGCAGAAAAUUAGGUGGAAAGAUUGAUGUCAUGUUCACACAAUAAACUGGAAGUAUUAGUGAGGCCGCUAGCUAAUUUAUGGCGCUUUUCCACCAGCACCUACUCAG